AGGGAUGAACGCUAGCUACAGGCUUAACACAUGCAAGUCGAGGGGCAUCAGUUUGGUUUGCUUGCAAACCAAGCUGGCGACCGGCGCACGGGUGAGUAACACGUAUCCAACCUGCCUCAUACUCGGGGAUAGCCUUUCGAAAGAAAAGAUUAAUAUCCGAUAGCAUAUAUUUCCCGCAUGGGUUUUAUAUUAAAGAAAUUCGGUAUGAGAUGGGGAUGCGUUCCAUUAGUUUGUUGGGGGGGUAACGGCCCACCAAGACUACGAUGGAUAGGGGUUCUGAGAGGAAGGUCCCCCACAUUGGAACUGAGACACGGUCCAAACUCCUACGGGAGGCAGCAGUGAGGAAUAUUGGUCAAUGGACGCGAGUCUGAACCAGCCAAGUAGCGUGAAGGAUGACUGCCCUAUGGGUUGUAAACUUCUUUUAUAUGGGAAUAAAGUUGUCCACGUGUGGAUUUUUGUAUGUACCAUAUGAAUAAGGAUCGGCUAACUCCGUG
rnacentral:rRNA from 1 species